AGCUAUAUUCGCCCACAACUUCAGUUCGGUCAACUUCGUCAUUUAGUGGUGACCGAAACUUCGAUGUGUGUGGUAGUGAAGUUAACUUUUCUAACAUAGUAUUCUCACAAAAAUAACAAUAACCAAUACUAAAGUACAAUUUCAUAUUCAGCGUGAUUUUUGCAAACAUUUAACGUGGCCCAAGUUGUAUAAAAAGUAAUCGAAAUGUGUGAUACUACCAAUCCUUCGACGCAAAGUAUAGCGGACUACUUAGCCCAGUUGCUCAAAGACAGGAAGCAACUGGCUGCGUUCCCGAAUGUUUUCAUGCACAUGGAGAGACUUCUGGAUGAAGAAAUAGCAAAAGUGCGAGCGAGUUUAUUCCAAAUAAACGGAGUGAAGAAAGAGCCACUAGUUCUGCCAGAGCCCGAUGGCAUGGUCACCACACUCACAGAAAAAGUAUAUGUUCCAGUAAAAGAGCAUCCAGAUUUCAACUUUGUGGGAAGGAUUCUAGGACCCAGGGGUAUGACAGCAAAGCAGUUGGAACAAGAAACUGGAUGUAAAAUCAUGGUUAGAGGCAAGGGUUCAAUGAGAGACAAGAAAAAGGAGGAUGCGAAUAGAGGCAAGCCAAAUUGGGAGCAUUUGGCUGACGACUUACACGUACUGCUUACAGUAGAAGAUACGGAGAACAGAGCAAAAAUCAAGUUGGCUAGAGCCGUAGAAGAAGUUAAACGUUUACUCGUGCCCCAAGCGGACGGCGAGGAUGAACUGAAGAAACGUCAGUUGAUGGAACUGGCCAUUAUUAAUGGCACAUAUCGCGACUCUAGCACGAAAGCUGUCGUGCCCGUCAACGGUCAGUGCCUAAUAACUGAUGAAGAAUGGCGACGUGUGGCUGCUGAGACUCAACGGCUGCUGGCACCUGGUGGAGGAGUCGGUGGCGUCGGGAGCGUGGCCUUGCGCACUCCCGCCCCCUUGGGAGCACCGCUGAUUUUAUCACCUCGUAUGUCUCAGGGGCCUCAGGGUCUCUUGAACGGUACAGGCGCUGGCGCUGCAGCUGGUCUACUAUCACCAGGAGAGCCAGCUCAUCAGCUGAUCUACGCAUCGCCGUACGCUGAGUAUGCUAACUACGCAGCGCUGACCAAUCCUUUGCUGACUGCUGAGUACGCAGCCGCCGACCAUACGGCGUCGAGAUAUCUACUCGCUGGCUUUUGACAUUGGCCACAAUUGCAGACCACAAUAAGAUACGACAGGCUUCCAACUUCAUCGUUUCGACCAUCGCACCAUUAUUAGGAUCUAUAUACACAUUGCCAUAUGAUUUGCCUUGCCACAGACUAUACAUAUUGCCACAAAUUAUCUUUUUGCCACUUUGUAUCAACCAGAUUCUGUCCAAAAUACUUUAUUAGUCUGUGCAAAGGUUUUUCUCAUUUGGGUGUUUGUCUUUUGCCGUCCCUGACCACUUAAAGGGCCUUCUAAAUUCAUAAGAGCGAUAUAAUCUAGCAUAAGAUUUAUGUUAAGGACGAUCUAGUAUAGUGACACGAACAUAUUGUACCUACGUUAUGUUGUUAAUAUUAAAUCAUCAUUGUUUUCUUUUAACCGUUUUGUACAGUGAUACAAAGUAUAUUUUGUUUCUAAACGAACAGAUAUUAUUUAUUAUAUAGCACAUUUUAUAUACACAAAGUAAUAUAGUAACGAUUUUAUUGCAUAUAUUCUACCGUUGUAAUUUUGUUAUGUCGAAUGGCAGUAAUAUGAAUAGAAAAUAAUUUUAGUUUUAUGUUUUCGAAACUGCCAAUAGAACACGUUAAGUUACCGAUGUUUCAUAUACAAAGACAAAGAUUUCUAUAUCGUAUUAUAUUCAUAUGUAUUUAUUUUUAUCGGUUAUUCCACGGAACAUUUUCAUAUUUAGCACAACUAGAUAUUUUUUUUGUAAUAACCUUCGCUUGUAAUACAACUAAUAUAAUAACAUUUGGUGUCCACAACACAUUUAGAACGUGAUUUUCGUACUAAUUAAUUACGGCAUGAAUUUGAUUUAUUAUAUCGUCUUCCCGAUUGUGAUUAACAAGAAUUUCAAUUAACAGAAAUCUCUGAAUGAUAUAGUAAUAAUAAAAUUCAGUGAUUACAAGCAUAAGGGACCAAAUACUAUUGAAAUUUAUCGAUUUAUACCCAAACGUAAUCUGUAUUAAUAACAAUGACUACUAAGAUUCAUUAUAAUUAAUUUUAAAUUUCGAACAAUAUAACAAAAUCCUCCACCCAAUAACGUAACAUUUUAUGAUAGCGGAUACGAAUGUUAUAUUAUUGUUAUAAUAUCUCGUAAUUUAUUAAUUUAUUAGCCAUAUUAUUAUAUUUAUAAACAUACCAUAGGUUUAAGUAUUUUUUUUAUCUUUUAAAGAUUUUAGCUUAGAAAAGAGUGAGCUUUAUGCAAUAUAUAAAAUCACUUAAGUAUAUUUUAUACUUAGUCAAAUGAUUUAUUUGCAGUAAAAAUUUAGAAUUCAAGCUAAACGUAACAUUUUUUGUAGAAUUUACGAUUACUAAGCCAGUUUUUAGCAUACCUACCUCUAACAGGUAUCGCCGAUGAGAUUUUUUAUUUUUUUUUUAUUUUUCCAAAGCAAUAAAAUAAUAGUUAAAGUUUAGUAGUCUAAAAUAAGCAUAAUAUAAUUUAGUGAUUCUGCCAAAAGUAAAGCUUCGGUAUAAAAAGUAUUUCAAAAAUUUGUAAAACGCAUUAGCAGUUAUAGCUGCUUUUAUAAGAAAACAUUUAGUUUAGUAACUGUCGUAAAGCUAAUAAGAUAAAAAUUCUUUUCAGCAUUUAAUUAUUUUGGCUUCCCAGGCGAUGUCAACGGAACUUAAAAAAAUUCAUUCCAAAAUUAAAUUCAAAGCAAUUUGUGUUCAACAAUUUAAUUUGUUCGAAAUCUAAGGUAUCUGAGGAAAGAAUGUCGGAAAUACCGUGUUUUUCUGCCAGAAAUAUGGAUAUCAAAGCCUGGAAGUCUUGUUAUGUGGGUUAACAUUGGGAAUAUAUUAGACACAGAUGAUAUAAAUCAUGUGCCGCUAGGUCUCGUGCGGAGGGCGGGACGGCUGACGCAAGUGAGGGAGCACCCUUACCAGCGCACUGCCUUACCGGCGCCUUAAUUCCCGCCAAAACGCUCUCACGCCGCCAUUUUGUUCAAGGUGAGUGAGGAGUUAACGGAGAAGCGGUCGGCUCCCGCAAUGGACACUAAGUCGCCGUAACAUUAUCAUCGGAACAUCGACCACCAUGUAGCUAUAGCUGUUGGGCCUUUCAAGUUAACAUGUACUAUGUAUUUUAAUAGUCUAACUAUUAACAUUAUAUGCCUGUUAUGUUUAUAACAAGAUGAUCUUUAUUAACAAUUUAUUAUAUUUUGAAGUGGCACACGCCAUCGACUAUAUUUACUGUAUUGUAACAUUGUACUUCUGUUGUCGCUUGACCGUUGUUGUUAGAGCACGAAUGUUGUUAGGUUACCCUACCUACCGCGGCGCUAAAUUUAUUUAAGCUAUCUUUAGAGUUUACUUAUUUAUUAGAUUUAGAUAUAUAUGAAUAUUCACAAAAUAUUGUAAAUGUUAAUUUUGUUAAGCAUAAAAUUUGGCGCCGUUAAUAUAUGAAAUGUUUUGGAACUGUUUCUAUUUUCGAAAUUUUAUAUAUAUAUUUCCAUUUAGUUGAAGCAAUAUCUUACAUCUCUUCUAUUUGGCUGCAUGAUUAAUUCUUGCGCAGAUGUUUGAAACACUUUUUCACAUAUGAACUAUUACAGUUUUAUAAAUGUUUUAUAAGUAUAGUACAAAUUACAUAAAUAUUGGAAUUUUGGAGAUGAGAAGAACCGUCGUUUCUCCAAAUAGCAAAAAGAGGCAGGAUAGCGGUAACUGAUUAAAUGUAAGUAUCAAAGCUAAUAUUUUAUCAAAAAUAUAUAGAGCAAUAUUUAAAUUGGACUGAUAUCGGAUCGAUAGUCUAAUAAUUUUUUCGUAUAUUCAUCGAUCGCUUUCAUGUUUUGGCAAUAUAUUACAAUCUUAAACCAAAGAGUUAAUAUAUGUUUGUCAUUGUUUUUAUUUGAGAAUUUUACAUGUAACGAAUUCAAAAUGUCUUCCGUUGUAGAUUUAUUUCGUCGAUGGGUGUACGAAACUAUUUUUGUGUUUAGUUAUUAUUAAUAGCAUUGUAUUUUAUUAUCUGUAGUGCUUAAUAUUUGUGUAUAACAAAUGAAAUAUCGCGCAUCCCAAGUGCCUUAUAUUGUACAAUGUUUUCACUUUUGUGGUUCUAUGAUAUAUGUUAUAUUGAUUAUUUAAACAUAGAGUAAAAAUAAGAAGAGAUUAAAUUAUUGUUAACUUCGCUUAAUAUUAACUAUAACUAUGUAAUAUCAAUCAAGUAGUUAAUCAUAUUUUUGUAAGCGCAUAGUUUAUCUAGAUUUUAUAGCAUUUUCUUAUUUCUUUUUCUCAUACAAGAAUCUCUUGUAUAAACAAUCUCUAACUAUUAAAUAUUUUUAGAUUAAUAAACGCACAUAUUUUGAAAUCUCAGUAGAAACUUGAAAUUUAUUAAGCAAAUGUAAACUGAGCAAUUAUUUCACGUAGUUAAUUGUUAUGUACAUAAUAGUGUUAUCAAAGGCAAUAAUAUUUUGACAAUAAUUUACGUUUAAUUUUUGUUAACGCUAGUGCAAUAGAUGUUAUAACAAAUAAAAAUUUUAUAAUAGAUUCUGAUAAUUUUGUGCGAAUAUAAAAAAAAGAAGUUUGAACAGAUCUGAUAUUGAGAUUAACGAAAUAUAAAUAUAUAAAUAUAAUGUUACUCUGGAAUUAUAAUCAUUAAAUUUUAUUUAGAUAUAAGCAUUGAUAUUUUCACUUCUUGUUGUUUAUAUGAAAAACAAAUAUUGGCAUUUUGAUAUCUCGUAUCGUUACAAAUUUAAUAUGUAGAUUUUAAUUCGCAACAAUCAUUAAAGUUACAAACACUCCGUCCAUGAUUACUUCAUUAUUUAAGUACUUAAUACGAAUAUAUCCGUAACGGUGAAUAUAACUUGAUGUUAAUGCUCACGUUUACAUUGAAACACAUUUAUGCCAAUUAACAAAGAAAAACACAAAAUUUCAUCACAAAAAUCUUUUCUAAUAUUUUAUGUGAGAAUAUUUCUUCUUGAUUCUGUGUUUUAACUUUUAUUUCACCAUGCUUAUAUAGAUUUAUUAUUCACUUAUUUUAUAUUGCAUAAAUUAAUUUUCAUGUUUUUCUCAUAUGUUUGAUCUGGUUUCGUUAACGAUAUUGUAAUCAGCGUCGAAUAUUAAAACAGAUUUAAAAAAUAUUUUAUUAUAAUAAAUAGAUGAUAUUUAAAAUAUCUUAUAAUUUACUUUUAAAGUAAAUUUAUUUACUUUUUAAACAUUUUGCUACUAUGCUGUGUUUGGUACAAAAAAUAAUAUACAAAGCAUUUGCGACAGAUGCCAUAAGCUUUGUUACACGAUCUUAGUAGAAUAUCUAUGCAAUAUUGUGAUUAAAGCGAAUUAACGUACAAAGAUUUUUUAAAUGUCUGUUUAUAGUAGUUAAAAUGUUUCAUACACGCGUCUGAGACAUAACUUUGUGCCAUCACCAACGGACUUGUGUUAUUUUUUAUUUGUACUUAUUUAACCUACAAUGGCGUAUCACUAGUGCCUUACUGUAAAUAUUUAUAUGCUAUUAAAUCAAGUAUUAUAGAGGAGAAAGGAUUCUAACAGUUGUUUUCCAAAAUCAAAUAUAGUAUACUUUUAUAUCUUAGUUAAGUGAGAUUGUGCAUAUUACUUAUGUCUGUUUUGAUGUGUGUUUAAGAUUGAUUUUGGCAUUAGUAAAUAUAUUAUUUCAAAAAUGUACAA